rnacentral:tRNA from 1 species
GGCCUUGUAGUGGAUUAACAUAUUGAAUUGCAAAUUCAAAGAAGCAGCUUAGAGUCUGCCGGGGCUU